rnacentral:rRNA from 1 species
UUUAUUGGAGAGUUUGAUCCUGGCUCAGGACGAACGCUGGCGGCGUGCCUAAUACAUGCAAGUCGAGCGGAUCUGAGGGAGCUUGCUCCCUCAGAUUAGCGGCGGACGGGUGAGUAACACGUGGGCAACCUGCCUGUAAGACUGGGAUAACUUCGGGAAACCGGAGCUAAUACCGGAUAAUGCUUUUGAACUCAUGUUCGAAAGCUGAAAGAUGGU